rnacentral:rRNA from 1 species
AGUUAGCGGCGAGCGAAGCGGGAAGAGCUCAAAUUUAUAAUCUGGCACCUUCGGUGUCCGAGUUGUAAUCUCUAGAAAUGUUUUCCGCGUUGGACCGCACACAAGUCUGUUGGAAUACAGCGGCAUAGUGGUGAGACCCCCGUAUAUGGUGCGGACGCCCAGCGCUUUGUGAUACAUUUUCGAAGAGUCCAGUUGUUUGGGAAUGCAGCUCAAAUUGGGUGGUAAAUUCCAUCUAAAGCUAAAUAUUGGCGAGAGACCGAUAGCGAACAAGUACCGUGAGGGAAAGAUGAAAAGCACUUUGGAAAGAGAGUUAACAGUACGUGAAAUUGUUGGAAGGGAAACGCUUGAAGUCAGACUUGCUUGCCGAGCAAUCGGUUUGCAGGCCAGCAUCAGUUUUCCGGGAUGGAUAAUGGUAGAGAGAAGGUAGCAGUUUCGGCUGUGUUAUAGCUCUCUGCUGGAUACAUCUUGGGGGACUGAGGAACGCAGUGUGCCUUUGGCGGGGGUUUCGACCUCUUCACACUUAGGAUGCUGGUGGAAUGGCUUUAAACGACCCCCUAAAAAA